UACGAGGAGCCCUAGCGUUAUCCGGAUUUAUUGGGCGUAAAGGGUGCGUAGGGGGUUUUGCGCGUUUGUUGUUAAAUUCCACCGCUCAACGGUGGUCCUGCGACGAAUACGGCAAGACUAGAGGAUACUAGAGGUGAGCGGAACGCACGGUGUAGGGGUGAAAUCCGUUGAGAUCGUGCGGAACACCAAAGGCGAAAGCAGCUCACUGGGGUAUUCCUGACCCUGAGGCACGAAAGCGUGGGGAGCAAAAAGG
rnacentral:rRNA from 1 species